GCCUGGAUGGUUCAGUCAGUUAAACAUCUGACUUCAGCUCAGGUCAUAAUCUUGCAGUUCAUAGGUUCAAGUCCCAUGUCGGGCU
rnacentral:tRNA from 1 species